ACGCUCGACACCUACCGGAGGCAGCAGUGGGGAAUAUUGCACAAUGGGGGAAACCCUGAUGCAGCGACGCCGCGUGGAGGAAGAAGGUCUUCGGAUUGUAAACUCCUGUUGUUGGGGAAAAAGAGGAUGGUACCCAACAAGGAAGUGACGGCUAACUACGUGCCCCGGNAGCCGCGGUAAUCUGAGCGGGCUGGCAAGGC
rnacentral:rRNA from 1 species